UCUCCUGUAGCUCAGUGGCAGAGCGUCCGACCGGUGUUCGUAAGGUCAUAGGAUCAACUCCUGUUGGGAGAA
rnacentral:tRNA from 1 species